rnacentral:rRNA from 1 species
ACUAAGCGUACACGGUGGAUGCCCUGGCAGUCAGAGGCGAUGAAGGGCGUGCUAAUCUGCGAUAAGCGCCGGUAAGGUGAUAUGAACCGUUAUAACCGGCGAUACCCGAAUGGGGAAACCCAGUGUGACUCGUCACACUAUCAUUAACUGAAUCCAUAGGUUAAUGAGGCGAACCGGGGGAACUGAAACAUCUAAGUACCCCGAGGAAAAGAAAUCAACCGAGAUUCCCCCAGUAGCGGCGAGCGAACGGGGAGGAGCCCAGAGCCUGAAUCAGCAUGUGUGUUAGUGGAAGCGUCUGGAAAGGCGCGCGAUACAGGGUGACAGCCCCGUACACAAAAGCGCAUGUGCUGUGAGCUCGAUGAGUAGGGCGGGACACGUGGUAUCCUGUCUGAAUAUGGGGGGACCAUCCUCCAAGGCUAAAUACUCCUGACUGACCGAUAGUGAACCAGUACCGUGAGGGAAAGGCGAAAAGAACCCCGGCGAGGGGAGUGAAAAAGAACCUGAAACCGUGUACGUACAAGCAGUGGGAGCACCCUUUGGGUGUGACUGCGUACCUUUUGUAUAAUGGGUCAGCGACUUAUAUUCUGUAGCAAGGUUAACCGAAUAGGGGAGCCGGAGGGAAACCGAGUCUUAACCGGGCGUUAAGUUGCAGGGUAUAGACCCGAAACCCGGUGAUCUAGCCAUGGGCAGGUUGAAGGUUGGGUAACACUAACUGGAGGACCGAACCGACUAAUGUUGAAAAAUUAGCGGAUGACCUGUGGCUGGGGGUGAAAGGCCAAUCAAACCGGGAGAUAGCUGGUUCUCCCCGAAAGCUAUUUAGGUAGCGCCUCGUGAAUUCAUCUCCGGGGGUAGAGCACUGUUUCGGCUAGGGGGCCAUCCCGGCUUACCAACCCGAUGCAAACUGCGAAUACCGGAGAAUGUUAUCACGGGAGACACACGGCGGGUGCUAACGUCCGUCGUGAAGAGGGAAACAACCCAGACCGCCAGCUAAGGUCCCAAAGUCAUGGUUAAGUGGGAAACGAUGUGGGAAGGCCCAGACAGCCAGGAUGUUGGCUUAGAAGCAGCCAUCAUUUAAAGAAAGCGUAAUAGCUCACUGGUCGAGUCGGCCUGCGCGGAAGAUGUAACGGGGCUAAACCAUGCACCGAAGCUGCGGCAGCGACACUGUGUGUUGUUGGGUAGGGGAGCGUUCUGUAAGCCUGUGAAGGUGUGUCGUGAGGCAUGCUGGAGGUAUCAGAAGUGCGAAUGCUGACAUAAGUAACGAUAAAGCGGGUGAAAAGCCCGCUCGCCGGAAGACCAAGGGUUCCUGUCCAACGUUAAUCGGGGCAGGGUGAGUCGACCCCUAAGGCGAGGCCGAAAGGCGUAGUCGAUGGGAAACGGGUUAAUAUUCCCGUACUUGGUGUUACUGCGAAGGGGGGACGGAGAAGGCUAUGUUGGCCGGGCGACGGUUGUCCCGGUUUAAGCGUGUAGGUGUGUGUUCCAGGUAAAUCCGGUUCACUUUAACACUGAGGCGUGACGACGAGGCACUACGGUGCUGAAGCAACAAAUGCCCUGCUUCCAGGAAAAGCCUCUAAGCAUCAGGUAACAUCAAAUCGUACCCCAAACCGACACAGGUGGUCAGGUAGAGAAUACCAAGGCGCUUGAGAGAACUCGGGUGAAGGAACUAGGCAAAAUGGUGCCGUAACUUCGGGAGAAGGCACGCUGACACGUAGGUGAAGUGAUUUACUCAUGGAGCUGAAGUCAGUCGAAGAUACCAGCUGGCUGCAACUGUUUAUUAAAAACACAGCACUGUGCAAACACGAAAGUGGACGUAUACGGUGUGACGCCUGCCCGGUGCCGGAAGGUUAAUUGAUGGGGUCAGCGCAAGCGAAGCUCCUGAUCGAAGCCCCGGUAAACGGCGGCCGUAACUAUAACGGUCCUAAGGUAGCGAAAUUCCUUGUCGGGUAAGUUCCGACCUGCACGAAUGGCGUAAUGAUGGCCAGGCUGUCUCCACCCGAGACUCAGUGAAAUUGAACUCGCUGUGAAGAUGCAGUGUACCCGCGGCAAGACGGAAAGACCCCGUGAACCUUUACUAUAGCUUGACACUGAACAUUGAGCCUUGAUGUGUAGGAUAGGUGGGAGGCUUUGAAGUGUGGACGCCAGUCUGCAUGGAGCCGACCUUGAAAUACCACCCUUUAAUGUUUGAUGUUCUAACGUGGACCCGUUACCCGGGUUGCGGACAGUGUCUGGUGGGUAGUUUGACUGGGGCGGUCUCCUCCUAAAGAGUAACGGAGGAGCACGAAGGUUGGCUAAUCCUGGUCGGACAUCAGGAGGUUAGUGCAAUGGCAUAAGCCAGCUUGACUGCGAGCGUGACGGCGCGAGCAGGUGCGAAAGCAGGUCAUAGUGAUCCGGUGGUUCUGAAUGGAAGGGCCAUCGCUCAACGGAUAAAAGGUACUCCGGGGAUAACAGGCUGAUACCGCCCAAGAGUUCAUAUCGACGGCGGUGUUUGGCACCUCGAUGUCGGCUCAUCACAUCCUGGGGCUGAAGUAGGUCCCAAGGGUAUGGCUGUUCGCCAUUUAAAGUGGUACGCGAGCUGGGUUUAGAACGUCGUGAGACAGUUCGGUCCCUAUCUGCCGUGGGCGCUGGAGAACUGAGGGGGGCUGCUCCUAGUACGAGAGGACCGGAGUGGACGCAUCACUGGUGUUCGGGUUGUCAUGCCAAUGGCACUGCCCGGUAGCUAAAUGCGGAAGAGAUAAGUGCUGAAAGCAUCUAAGCACGAAACUUGCCCCGAGAUGAGUUCUCCCUGAGACUUAGAGUCUCCUGAAGGAACGUUGAAGACGACGACGUUGAUAGGCCGGGUGUGUAAGCGCAGCGAUGCGUUGAGCUAACCGGUACUAAUGAACCGUGAGGCUUAACC